rnacentral:rRNA from 1 species
UACGUAGGGUGCGAGCGUUGUCCGGAAUUAUUGGGCGUAAAGAGCUUGUAGGCGGUUUGUCGCGUCUGCUGUGAAAUUUCGGGGCUCAACCCCGAACUUGCAGUGGGUACGGGCAGACUAGAGUGUGGUAGGGGAGACUGGAAUUCCUGGUGUAGCGGUGAAAUGCGCAGAUAUCAGGAGGAACACCGAUGGCGAAGGCAGGUCUCUGGGCCAGUACUGACGCUGAGGAGCGAAAGCGUGGGGAGCAAACAGG